GAUUGAACAAAAGGUAUUUAGAUUUUUGCUUUGAAUACUUUAAUUUUCUGUUUCGAACAACUGAUUGUUGUUGACGAUGAAGAAAUUAAUUGUUGGGAAAAUUGAAAGUCUUUCGAGAUUAUGAGAUUUCAGUUUUUUGAAUAUGAUUUUCUGUUUCGCUUGUUUUUGCAUACUGUGUUCGCCGAUUUGAAUCACGCUUGGUGGAUCUAAAUAAUCAAGGGGAUACCAUAUCCUACAUUACCUCUUCUUCCACGAUAACCUGUUCAUCAACGGUGGACGUUAGCCGGUGAUGUACCCCUCAAGGUCUGCAGAAAGAGGUGCAAGAAUAGGGCCUACGCGCUUGGAUGUGGCGUCUCGCCGCGGAGCAACCAGAGAUCAAGACGGAGGCUAGAUUAUGACGAGAGGGAGAUUGCUGUAGGAGACGAAAUAUUGGCCAAGUCGAUGUACCGAAUCCUCCUCCAAUGGCAACAGCAAUCAGCCUCCGCAAAGGGGACACCCUAAAUUACAAGCCUGCUAUUGAAAGUGAAGGUGCUGGAAA